GACGAACGCUGGCGGCGUGCUUAACACAUGCAAGUCGAACGGAAAGGCCCUGCUUUUGUGGGGUGCUCGAGUGGCGAACGGGUGAGUAACACGUGAGUAACCUGCCCUUGACUUUGGGAUAACUUCAGGAAACUGGGGCUAAUACAGGAUAGGAUAUCCUGCUGCAUGGUGGGGGUUGGAAAGUUUCGGCGGUUGGGGAUGGACUCGCGGCUUAUCAGCUUGUUGGUGGGGUAGUGGCUGACCAAGGCUUUGACGGGUAGCCGGCCUGAGAGGGUGACCGGCCACAUUGGGACUGAGAUACGGCCCAGACUGCUACGGGAGGCAGCAGUGGGGAAUAUUGCACAAUGGGCGGAAGCCGGAUGCAGCAACGCCGCGUGCGGGAUGACGGCCUUCGGGGUGUAAACCGCUUUCGCCUGUGACGAAGCGUGAGUGACGGUAAUGGGUAAAGAAGCACCGGCUAACUACGUG
rnacentral:rRNA from 1 species